UAAAGAAUAAUUUUCUGUUGUCUGCAGGUCCUGUUUACUUGAAGAUUUUUCUCUCACUUGUUCAAAGAAUCUUAGCUAGCCAUUACAAUUCUCUUCAGCAACUAAAGGGGAAAACAGCCUAUCGAAUGGAAUUUGUUUAUGGAAAAGCAUUCUACAGGGCUGUCAGCUCAGCUGCAUGAAUUGAAGAACUUACUGUCUGAAUUAAUCCAUAGCAUAGCAGCCCUACAAACUGGGAGGCCUGAUUUUUGAGUUUGGCCCGAGGAUAGGAAGUCAAAAGCUGGCAGAAGACGGAUGCUUUGCCAAAGUGACAAAUUUCUUUUCCUGGAGAAAGUUGCUGACUGCAGUGUUCCAAUUGGAGCAGCUUAUCUGCCCCUCCAGAUGUUGAAAUAAUGACAGAUGCCCAGAGAAAGCUUGACAAGAGGAAGAAAAGAGCCUGCUGAAGAGUCCAACCUGUUUGUAUGCGGGAAAAUAAAAGUAACACUUACUGAGAUCCCUACUCUGGUAAGAGGUCAUCAACCUCCUGUGAGAGAAACUUGUUCUCACCAGAGGAAAACUACCCAGUUGUAAAAUAUGGUUUGCAAGAUGAGAGAAACAUUUAUCCAAACAUUGCAUCUUUCCUAAGAGAUUUCUUUGCAUCUUACUUGG
rnacentral:lncRNA from 1 species